rnacentral:lncRNA from 1 species
CCCGCUGAUUCCUCUAUGGCCAAAUCGAGACCGAAAUCCCGGCCAAACGGCCGGAAUACUCGGCCGAAGCCCAGCGGCGCCACCGCGCCCCCUCUCGGUUUUUGCCUCCGACGAGGCCCUUCCCGGCCUCCGUUCGAUGCAAUUUUUAUAUCACCGUGAUCACCAUUCUUUUCUCUACAGGUUGACCGGAGCCGAAUCACCAAAACACGAACCUCGCCGGAGAGCCGCUGCACCCGAGAGCGCCGCCGCCGGUAAGCUCCGUUUUUUCGUGAUUUUUUGGCCCCCCGAGGGCCCUAGGGUUGUUUUCUGACAAGGACCAAUGCGAGCGUGGCCGAAUUCGGCCGAAAACGGCCGAAAACAGCCAACCCGAGGUGACUCGCCGCUGCCAGCGGCGGCGCCGUCGCCGGAGCACGGCGGAGCCGCCGUGCCGGAGUUGCGAUUUGGGCCGAAAGAGGCCCUGGGCCUAAUUUGGAUUUUUUUGGAACACGUGCAGGUACUCUUAGUGUGUUUCAGUUUCCCGAAAAAAAUUCAGGGAAAAAUUAAGGACGGCCUGCAGGCGCACUGUGAAUCGUAUUCGGAUCUCGAAAACAAGUAAGGACCCCUCACCCUAUUUCCUAUCACGGUAUUAAAGUUCAAAAUGAUAAAACGGUAUUUCUUGAAUUAACGCAUGUGUGAAAUU